ACGAGGGAUCCUAGCGUUGUUCGGAAUCAUUGGGCGUAAAGCGGGUGCAGGUGGCUUUGUAAGUCAGGUGUGAAAUCCCAGGGCUCAACCCUGGAAGUGCAUUUGAUACUGCGAAGCUUGAGUGUGGGAGAGGUGAGUAGAAUUCCAGGUGUAGUGGUGAAAUACGUAGAUAUCUGGAGGAAUACCGGAGGCGAAGGCGGCUCACUGGCCCAACACUGACACUCAGACCCGAAAGCGUGGGGAUCAAACAGGA
rnacentral:rRNA from 1 species